UACGUAGGGGUCGAGCGUUGUCCGGAGUUACUGGGCGUAAAGCGCGCGCAGGCGGCGCGAUAAGACCGGCGUGAAAGCCCCCGGCUCAACCGGGGAGGGUCACGCGAUACUGAUCGACUCGAAGGCAGGAGAGGGUAGUGGAAUUCCCGGUGUAGUGGUGAAAUGCGUAGAUAUUGGGAGGAACACCAGUGGCGAAGGCGGCUCACUGGACCGGAACUGACGCUGAGGCGCGAAAGCGUGGGGAGCAAACAGG
rnacentral:rRNA from 1 species